UUGUAUUUUUCAUGAUACAAGGUUUUUACAUGUUCAGUGAAAAUGUGGUCCAAUUAUCUUGUCAAUGUAUUACAGUUUGGAACAAUUGAAACCAUACACAGUGCAUUAGUAGACGAAUAUCCGAAGUUAUUACGAAACAGGAAAACACUUUUCAUGAGUGCUAUAUGUUGUGUUGGUUUCAUCUCAGGCAUACCGUAUAUAAUGAAUGGAGGAACUUAUAUUUUACAAACCGUAGACUGGUAUGUUGGAUUGAUAUCUUCAAUGAUAGCUGCAAUAAUGGAAUGUAUUUAGAUUGGAUGGAUGUAUGAGAAUUAAAACUCGGCUUACGUCAAAAUCGGACUAUGGACCUGCCCUAGAAGUAAACUGUAUCAAACCUGUUGAACUUCUUCGGCUUAUAACAACUGAACGUUUGGUUAAUCAAUUGUCUAAGCAGCCGGAAAUGUUUGAAGACCAAAAAAUAUGAUUUGAAUAAAUGUUAGAAUCAUAGUAAUCUUGUGCAUUCACCGCUUUUGAUUUGUCGGUACCAUUUUGGAAAAAAUAAUGGACAUUCAUCACCCAAACAGAUACAAAAAGAUACGAAUAACGUAUUAUUAAAAGACAUUUCAAACUAUCAAUUUUGU